UGCACUCACUACUGUAAGUCACUCUGGAUAAGAGCGUCUGCUAAAUGACUCAAA
rfam:Salmo salar isolate Sally breed double haploid chromosome ssa09, whole genome shotgun sequence.